CAUUAGAACAUAGGCCCCAAGCUGUAGCAAUACAGCCCAAAGGCCUCUUCUAUUACCCUUGUUUUUUGAGUACCUAUGUUUCCUUGGUGGGCUUGCCUGCCAAUAGGACAAACUAUUAAACCUUUUUUAAUUUUCAAUCAGCGUCUGAAUAAACUUUAAUAAUUA
rnacentral:misc_RNA from 1 species